rnacentral:rRNA from 1 species
AUUGAACGCUGGCGGCAGGCUUAACACAUGCAAGUCGAGCGGAGAUGAGGUGCUUGCACCUUAUCUUAGCGGCGGACGGGUGAGUAAUGCUUAGGAAUCUGCCUAUUAGUGGGGGACAACAUUCCGAAAGGAAUGCUAAUACCGCAUACGUCCUACGGGAGAAAGCAGGGGAUCUUCGGACCUUGCGCUAAUAGAUGAGCCUAAGUCGGAUUAGCUAGUUGGUGGGGUAAAGGCCUACCAAGGCGACGAUCUGUAGCGGGUCUGAGAGGAUGAUCCGCCACACUGGGACUGAGACACGGCCCAGACUCCUACGGGAGGCAGCAGUGGGGAAUAUUGGACAAUGGGGGGAACCCUGUUCCAGCCAUGCCGCGUGUAUGAAGAAGGCCUUAUGGUUGUAAAGCACUUUAAGCGAGGAGGAGGCUACUGAGACUAAUACUCUUGGAUAGUGGACGUUACUCGCAGAAUAAGCACCGGCUAACUCUGUGCCAGCCGCCGCUGUAACAC